rnacentral:rRNA from 1 species
GGACUACAGGGGUUUCUAAUCCUGUUUGCUCCCCUAGCUUUCGUUCCUCAGUGUCAGUUGCGAUCCAGCCAGCCGCCUUCGCCACGGGUGUUCCUGCAGAUAUCUACGCAUUUCACCGCUACACCUGCAAUUCCACUGGCCUCUCUCGCACUCGAGCGCGGCAGUUUUGAAAGCAGCCUCCGAGUUAAGCCCGGAGAUUUCACUCCCAACUUGCCGCACCACCUACGAACCCUUUACGCCCAGUAAUUCCGAGCAACGCUGGCCCCCUACGUAUUACCGCGGCGGCUGGCAC